UACAGAGGGGGCAAGCGUUGUUCGGAAUUACUGGGCGUAAAGGGCGCGUAGGCGGCCUGUUAAGUCGAACGUGAAAUCCCCGGGCUCAACCCGGGAACUGCGUCCGAUACUGGCAGGCUUGAAUUCGGGAGAGGGAUGCGGAAUUCCAGGUGUAGCGGUGAAGUGCGUAGAUAUCUGGAGGAACACCGGUGGCGAAGGCGGCAUCCUGGACCAACACUGACGCUGAGGAACGAAAGCCAGGGGAGCAAACGGG
rnacentral:rRNA from 1 species